CAUCCCACAUAUGCCUGAGGACAUCCUGAGGAAGUACAUGCUAGAAUUAUCUCCAUUGGGCAGAAAAGACAUGGACCAUACCUGAGAAGCACAAUCGCGAAUCUGGGACCAGAAAGAGGUACCGGGGCUCUGGAUACCAGAAACCCCAGUGUGCAGUAUCAUUUGGAUGUUGGAGAGGGUUACUUAACCCACGCUGGUGAUGUCUCAGGAUGUUUUCCAGGAGGUCACAUAAGAGCCACAUGCCACAGAUGGAGGAGAAGCUGAAUGAUGAGAGCCCCUGCUCUACUUCCCUGAAGGACAGGAAGAAGACCCAUACCAUCAGGAGGAUGCUGCGCUGGCUCAGCAUGAGUGCAGGUACCAGGGAAACCCAACACCUAGGACCCACAGACAAUGAAAAGAAUACCAGGGCACAGAAAACACACUACUACUCCCCCGGUAUCUCUUGUAGACUCCUGAUGCCAGAUGAACCUGGAGCCCCAUGUGCUCCCCAAACAUGACCUCAUGGCCCAGCCCCUGCCAUGGCCAGAUGCAACGUCACUCUCCACUUAUUUGUAGGAAUAUCAGAAAAGAGAUGUGAAACCAUUUCAUGUCCGAUUCUGUCUAGAAUAUAUUGGCAUUGUCGUACAUGUUUCCUCAACAACUGUUC